rnacentral:lncRNA from 1 species
CGACGAGAGUGGUAUUGGAGGCGAAGAAAGGGGCCGUGAGGACGCAGACCUCCCGGAUGUGAACGAAGAGGCGGAGGAAGCGGAGUAGGGAGUGAAUGGCAGCGGCGGUGAGCAUGAGGCCAGGGUAAAGCGUGCCGCCGAUGAUGCGGCCGAGCGGGUACCAGGACUCGUAGUCGAACCAGUUCCAGAACUCGGCGAAGCCAUUGCGAGUGAGGAAGAGCGUGGUGCGGUAGUUGAAGUAGGGGUCGAACUCGUGGAUCAUGGACUCAUAGCGGAGGACGCUGAAGAGGCGCGUGAUGAAGGCGAGGACGUAGAUGAGGGCGAGUGUGGCGACGCGGA